UCAGUUUGACCAAACUAGGAUCCCUAUCCUGCUUCUCCUUCACUUCCGAAACUAAAGAAGAUUCAAAACUACUCUGCACCAACGUACUCCCCUCCGCUGAAUUAAGAAAUCUAAUACCUAACCUAGCCAGACAAUGAAAAUCAUGAGCUAACUGUCUCUUACAUUCCUCAAUAUGCGUAACACUACCCAUGGACAAUGUGCUAAGGGAAUUCGUCACCACAUUGGCCUUGCCCG
rnacentral:lncRNA from 1 species